ACUUUGUUGCUGUUCAGAGUCCUGCACACUUAGAAAAAUUUCAUUAGGGUGCCAUUUUUGGUUUCAUCCUUUGUUAUCAUCAAAAUUCUGGAAUUCUAUUGUAGAACUAAUUUGGUUCUUACAGAAGGUCCAAUGAUAUUUGAUAGAUUUGUCAUCAUUUGUUCCCAAUAGUUGGGGGAGGGGGGGUUGUCACCAACGACGCUUCCGUAAUUGAGUUCGGUGUCCAUGUUGUCGUAGUUGGGUCGUUGUGGUUGGAUGAAUUUUGGACGGUAUGGUUGCCCGAAUUGGGACAUUGAAUCGUUUUGGAAAUGAAGCAAUGGUUCCUGUGGUGUACUAAAGUUAAACAAUGGUUGUCUGUUGUGGUGAUGGGAUGUUUGGGUGUUCAUUGGUGGGGGGAUACGAUGACAUGACCUGAAUCGUAUGAAUCAUCUGGGCUAUAGAUUGUUGUGGUGGUUGCGUAUGGUUGUUGGUGGUUAUGAUUUGAUUCUUGGUUUUGAGUUUAGGUGUGUGACAUGAAUUGGUUGCGAUGUUGGGUGUUUGGUGGUUGGAUGUAUAUGCUAGGG
rnacentral:lncRNA from 1 species